AGUGAACGCUGGCGGUAGGCCUAACACAUGCAAGUCGAACGGCAGCACAGUAAGAGCUUGCUCUUACGGGUGGCGAGUGGCGGACGGGUGAGGAAUACAUCGGAAUCUACUUUUUCGGGGGGGAUAACGUAGGGAAACUUACGCUAAUACCGCAUACGACCUACGGGAGAAAGCAGGGGAUCUUCGGACCUUGCGCGAUUGAAUGAGCCGGUGUCGGAUUAGCUAGUUGGCGGGGUAAAGGCCCACCAAGGCGACGAUCCGUAGCUGGUCUGAGAGGGUGAUCAGCCACACUGGAACUGAGACACGGUCCAGACUCCUACGGGAGGCAGCAGUGGGGAAUAUUGGACAAUGGGCGCAAGCCUGAUCCAGCCAUACCGCGUGGGUGAAGAAGGCCUUCGGGUUGUAAAGCCCUUUUGUUGGGAAAGAAAAGCAGCAGGUUAAUACCCCGCUGUUCUGACGGUACCCAAAGAAUAAGCACCGGCUAACUUCGUG
rnacentral:rRNA from 1 species